rnacentral:rRNA from 1 species
AUUGAACGCUGGCGGCAGGCCUAACACAUGCAAGUCGAGCGGAGCGGCGGACGGGUGAGUAAUGCCUAGGAAUCUGCCUGGUAGUGGGGGAUAACGUACGGAAAGGGGCGCUAAUACCGCAUACUAUCAGAUGAGGCUAGGGGGGAUUAGCGAGGUGGUGUGGUAAAGGUCUACCAAGGCGACGAUCCGGAACGGGUCUGAGCGGAUGAUCAGUCAACCGGGAACUGAGACACGGGCCAGCCUCCUACGGGAGGCAGCAGUGGGGAAGAUUGGACAAUGGGCGAAAGCCUGAUCCAGCCAUGCCGCGUGUGUGAAGAAGGUCUUCGGAUUGUAAAGCACUUUAAGUUGGGAGGCGUUACCAACAGAAUAAGCACCGGCUAACUUCGUGCCAGCAGCCGCGGUAAUUC